AGAGUAGAAUGAUUGUAAAUUUUUACAUAUGAUAAUGGUAUGAUAGCUAAGGUUUUUAUUUUUAGAGAUGCUUGCAGAAAUAUUCAUGGAUGCGGCCAAGUGCGGUGGCUCAUGCCUGUAAUCCCAGCACUUUGGGAGGCUGAGGUGGGCGGAUUACGAGGUCAGGAGAACCAGACCAUCCUGGCUAACAUGGUGAAACCCGGUCUCUACUAAAAAUAAAAAAUAAAAAUAAAUUUUAAAAAAAUAACAGGGCAUGGUGGCGGGCGCCUGUAGUCCCAGCUACUCGGGAGGCUGAGGCAGGAGAAUGACGUGAACCUGGGAGGUGGAGCUUGCAGUGAGCGAAGAUCGUGCCACUGCACUCCAGCCUGGGCAACAGAGUGAGACUCUGUGAAAGACAGAGAGAAAGAAGGAAGGAAGGAAGGAAGGAAGGAAGGAAGGAAGGAAGGAAGGAAGGUAGGAAGGAAGGAAGGAGGGAGGGAGGGAGGGAGGGAGGGAGGGAAGGAAGGAAGGAAAGGAAGGAAGGAAAGGAGGGAGGGAGGCAGGGAGGGAGGGAAGGAAGGAAAAGAAAGAAAGAAAUAUUCAUACGAUGUCUAGGAUUUGCCUCCAUAAAACCCAAUGAGGUUGGGGGUUGGGAAACAAAAGAAAAUAUGGAUGAGGAUGAAACGAGAUUGGCUUAGAGUUGGUAGGUGUUGAAGUUGAGCAGUGAGCGCCUGAGGACUUCUUAGGCUAUGUCUCUACUUCUGUGUAUGUUUCAAAAUUUCCCAAACGAAACAUUUUCUAAAUUGUCCAGUGUAGAAGGCUCAAGCCUUCGGCAUCUUCCCCCAUCCCCACCGAAGUCCCCAGUCCUCCCCUGGUAACAUUCUGGGCAGCUUUCCUCCUUGCUUCCCCAGCACCUCCUGGGCUAUUUCAGACUCCGUGCCAGCGGAGCACCACACUGCCUCAGCCCCCGCAGUUGGCACUUGGACAAAAAUCUUUUCCUGACCCCAGAUGGCAUUGCAGCUUCCUCAGUCCGAUCCUGUAAGCAUAUUUUUUUCCAGGCACCUGAUUCCUGGAUGUGGCAGCAAUAAAACCAACCGAGAUUGUUUGACUGGCCCCCUCUGGAGCAGGUAUUUCCCAUUCCGAUGCCGUCAGCCAUCUGAGCGUGCUGCUUCCAAGAGCUCGGAAAUAACAGCCGGGAGACCCGGUGCAUCGCCCACAAGACGCCGGCUCAUUUAUCUUCUUGUGGUUGUAUUUUCUUAUGGGAAGGACAUUUCAAGGGAUAUUUACAAGUAAGAGAAUCCAAAAGACAUAGCUUCAAAUCACUCCUUCCUCCUCACCUGCUAAGCCAGGUUUUAUAUGAUCCCUUUCAAUCCGAGACUGAUAACACAGAAAUGAAACCAUGGACAUAAAAUACCUUUCUUUGUGUUUUACCCCAAUUUUCCCUCCAUAAAAUGUUUCUGCUCUCUUUUCUUAGUGGACUCAAUCCCAUAAUUGGUUGCCUUGGGCUAUGUUUUACAGCACCUGUCUUAGUCUAAAACAGAUUCACAAUAUCCUCUGGCUACAGAAUACAGAGUGCAGUAGCUUCCCCUGUUAGACAUGAGUCCCAGGGGGGUGGGAGUUUGGAAUGGGGGAUGGUGUGGGGAAGCAUUCUGCUGCAAUGCAGGUAAGCUCAUUCUGCUCAUUUCAUGUGGCAGAUGUGGCCAGGAAGUCCAAGCGAUAUCUUCCAUGUAGCCGUACUCCUUCCAGGAAGUGAACUGCCCCAGGCCUACUGGUGAAGGUUCCCAGCACCUACUUGGAGCCAUGCCUUAAGUUUUGCCACUAGAGAUUUUUUUUCCUUUUGAAGAUUUAAUAAUGGAAUGUUAAAAAUAUGUAAAAAUGUAAUGAAAUAAUAGAAUAGACACUAAAAUCAAACAUUUUGUGUUAUUCACUUCAAACCUCCUCUCCAAAGAACAUUAAGAGUUCUGCAGAAUCUCUACCCUCCAUCUCUUUCCCUCUGUCCCCAGACAUACCACUACCCUGAAAGGUUUCUACCGUUCCUAAGCAUGUCUUUAUGCAUUUGCUGUAUUUAGGGUAUCGUGCUGUACAUAUCAGUAUGCAACUUGCUUUUCUAAAGUCAGUAUGGUUUGGUAAUUGAGACGUAUCACUGUUGAUACAGGCUGAUCUCAUUCAUUUCUUUCAUCUGCUCUAUAGUAUUUCAUUUACUAAACUAUAUUCAUCAUUUGUUGUUGAUUAGAUGUAAAUACUAUUGGCUUGAGUACUGCUCUUAUAUCCAAUAACCUUGAUGAAUACUUCUUAUUUAUAAUUGUUGGUCUACAGAUUACUUUUAUCUUCUAUACUGGCAAUUAUUUCAUCUGUAAUAAUGAGAAACUUCUUCUUCCCUUCCAAUCCUUCUUCCUUCCUUCCUUCCUUCCAUCCUUCCUUUCUUCAUUAUAUCCUUUCUUUUCUUUCUUUCUCUUUCUUUCUUUCUUUCUCUCUUUCUUUCUUUUUCCUUGUGUAAACAUCACUUUUAAUAGAAGUGGCAAUAGCAAGCAUCCUUGUCUUAUUUCUAACUUUCAAGAUAAUGCUUAUUUGAUCAGAUCUUUAAGUAAGAUUUU
rnacentral:lncRNA from 1 species